ACGAACGCUGGCGGCGUGCCUAAUACAUGCAAGUCGAGCGGAAUGAUGAAGAAGCUUGCUUCUUCUGAUUUUAGCGGCGGACGGGUGAGUAACACGUGGGCAACCUACCUUGUAGAUUGGGAUAACUCCGGGAAACCGGGGCUAAUACCGAAUAAUCCAUUUUGCUUCAUGGCGAGAUGUUAAAAGGCGGCUUCGGCUGUCACUACGAGAUGGGCCCGCGGCGCAUUAGCUAGUUGGUAGGGUAAUGGCCUACCAAGGCGACGAUGCGUAGCCGACCUGAGAGGGUGAUCGGCCACACUGGGACUGAGACUCGGCCCAGACUCCUACGGGAGGCAGCAGUAGGGAAUCUUCCACAAUGGACGAAAGUCUGAUGGAGCAACGCCGCGUGAGUGAAGAAGGUUUUCGGAUCGUAAAACUCUGUUGUAAGGGAAGAACACGUACGAGAGUAACUGCUCGUACCUUGACGGUACCUUAUUAGAAAGCCACGGCUAACUACGUG
rnacentral:rRNA from 1 species